GCCAACGAAGGUCCGUGAAUACCCUUGGCACGUGGGCAUAGCCAGACGAUUAAGAACUAAACCCUUUUGCGGCGGGUCCAUUAUAUCCAAUCGGUGGAUUCUGACCGCCGCCCACUGCCCUGUUCGCGUCAACGACAUGGUGAUGAUCGGAGCUCACGAUUGGUGUAAAUGUCAACCACGACCUUUGCGUAUCUCGGUCAAAAAGGUCAUCCCUCGCCAAGACUAUGACAGUAAAAGUUACGAAAACGACAUCGCUCUCCUAGAACUCUCGCGGGACAUACCUUUCCCUGCAAAU